rnacentral:tRNA from 1 species
CGAUAGCUCAGUUGGUAGAGCAGCAGACUGUAAUGAGUAAAGCUGUUAUCUGUUGGUUACUGAUUCGAUUCCGGUU